rfam:Hordeum vulgare subsp. vulgare, WGS project CAJW01000000 data, contig: morex_contig_148406
GUAAUACUUCCUCCGUCCCAAAAUUCUUGUCUUUGAUUUGUAUAGAUGGGAAUGUAUCUAGUCAAAUUUUAGUAUUUUGAUACAUUCAUUUAAAAAAAACUAAGACAAGAAUUUUGGUACGGAGGAAGUAGGUG